rnacentral:rRNA from 1 species
GAUGAACGCUAGCUACAUGCUUAACACAUGCAAGUCAAGGGACCGUCUCACGGGUGAGUAACCCGUAUCCAACCUGCCCUUUACUCGGGGAUAGCCUUUCGCAAGAAAGAUUAAUACCCUAUAUAAAGGCUGGGGAUGCGUUCAAUUAGGUGGUUGGUGAGGUAACGGCUAACCAAGCCUUCGAUGGAUAGGGGUUCUGAGAGGAAGGUACCACACAAUGGAGAUGAGACACGGUCCAAACUCAGACGGGAGGUAGAAGUAAGGAAUAUUUGACAAGUGGAGCGAGCCUGAAACAGCCAGGUAGCGUGAAGGAUGAAUGAUUAUGGGUCGUAAACUACUUAUAUAUAAGAAUAUGUAUUAUAUGGAUAAGGCUCGGCUAACUCCGUGCCAGCAGCCGCGGUAAUAC